AUGACACCUCACAGGGAGACGCCAUGUUGUUUAUACGGAGUUUAUUCUCGUCUUCUUCCGGUUGACGUUCAGGCUCUUUCACGCUGCAGCGCCACCUCAGGUCAAAACGUCUUGAAAACAAGUUUUAACAAAGUCCUGGAGAAGUGCCCAAUGCUGGAGGACCUCCUGCUUUACCCCUGGCUCAGAUAAACUCCUCUCUGACACAAACACACACGCAUACUGAAUUCACAUCUUGCCAUACAAAUGUGAUACAGUAACCAACUUUCUUUCUUUCAGAAAAAAAGAAAAUUGGGAGAUUCAAAAUUUUCCUCACAGUAAUGUUUGCAUCAGUCUAUCAGAUGAAUCCCCUCCAAGUCCAAUAUUUACAUCAGUUACAGUGAUAAUGCUUGGUGUCUACUUUCAGCCACCGCAGUAGAAUGCCAGGAAUGAAUCUCAUUGAAAUUGUAGUUGCAUUUGCUAUUUAAUUUAAUUGUCAUGGAUGAUACACAGACAACCCAACAGCAAACAGAGGAAAACAAUGGGCUUAAAUACACAGAGGGAUAAAUGAGGGAAUAAGACACAGGAUGAGAGCACAGCUGCGAGAAAUCACAAACAGCAAGACCAUGGGGAAGGAAAACUGAAAACACUAACAUAGUCUAAGGAGCUUAGAAAGAAAACGUCUGGACUUCUUUAAGUUGCUUGAAGACGUUCAAGCAAAGUUUAAGUUCUUUUCAUCCGAGAAGGUGAAACAUCUUCAAGCAACUUCAAGUCCAGACGCUUUCUUUCCAAACUCCUUAGACUACGAUGACCUAGAUGACUGAGAACCUUCACAGACAUGAAAACACUAACAUAGCACACAAGACUAUCAAAGUAAAACAGCAAACAAGAGACUUUUACAAAGACACAGAGUUGACACAGAGACAUGACUGACUGGGGAGAAAUUGGGGAACAUGGAAAGAAGAAUGACUAGACAUGACACGUGGACACAGGGGCAAGGCAAAGUAACAGAAACCUAAAGCCUAAGAAUAUAACACAAGAAGAAAACAAUAAAGAGAACCAAAAACAUACAUAAGAAUAAUCAAUGAAUAUAAAUGAACAAACACAAAACACUGGGUCACAGACUCAGUACCAUGACAGUUAAAUGUACAAUAAUAAAUACUUUAAAUCAGAUGACAAUGUAGCUGACACUGUGUUUAUUAGUGUGUGGUCAACCACAAAUCUUCAUACUGUCAUCCAUACAUGAGGUCUUUAUACAAACGAUGAAAGAUAAUGAAAGAAACUGUUUAAUUGAUAUGAAAUGAUUGAAUUAUAUGAAAUAUUAUGGCUUUGUCUGCCAGAGUGUUUUUCUGUAAACUACUUUGAACUACUGGCAGUCAGUGAAGUCACUGAAAGGCAAGAUUCUAUGUUGUGUUGCCGUAGUUUCCAGAGUUUACUUAUAAAGCUCACUUACAGAAUUCAGUUAGAAAAGUCAAGCAUUUGAAGGAAUAUUAACUCAAUAUUAACUCAUUACGGUUUACAUUUUCGAGUUUAAAAGUUCUCCGAAAUUACAAUGAAAAAGGAAACAAGAAAAAUUACCACUCCAGCCGAUAAGAAAGAUUCAGGAGAUCAAGGUAAGUAAAAUAAUAAAUCAAAUCCUGGUAAAAUCCAAAUCCUAGAAAUGUUGACACUGUGUGAUCAUUUUUAGAGCAAUUGAAUCAUAUGUUUGAUUGAAAAUAGCUUUAAUACAAGAUGUCUAAUCAAAGAAAGGUUACCGGUCUUUUGGUAAAAUAUGUAAUAAGUUUAUUCUUGGACUCAACAGUAAAAACAGACCAACAAGUGUCAUCAAGAUCUAAGACUUAGUAAACCUAGUAUCAAUUCGCACUGGUCAGUUUUUUUAUCCCAAGAAUAAACUUGUGAUAAUUUAAGCAAAAGCAAUUUCAAAUUCUUUGCCAAACUGCUUCCAGUCCUGAUGUCGGGGACUCUUUUUCACCACUGUGUUGUUGUCGUUUAUAGAUUGUAAGAGCAGGACUGCUAAAAGAAAGGCCAGUCCUGAAAAAGAAGACCCCAAUAAAAAGGAGGAGGGUCGCUGAGCAGGCUGGUCCUUCCACCAGCUCAGAUGUGGUCAAAGGAGUGAAGCGCAAGGUUGUGCAAGAUGAAGAGGGCACAACAAAGAAAGCAAAGAAGGCUAAACUUCUCGACCAUAUGAGCGGUGACAAGGAGCAAGCAUCCUCCUUGUUGGACUCUGGUAAAGGUAGGCUAAUUAGUUGAAUAAGGGGGUAGAUUAAGUGUGGUUGCUAGGUUUAAGAUAUUAGUGUUUAGUGUUUGUGUCUAUCAUCCAGUGAGCUGAUGUGCUUUUGGUGUUUUCCACAUCUCCAGACUUGAAUAACAAACAGGUGUGCGCAAAAAAUGGCAAAAGAAAGGCCGCGGAGACUCUCAAACAGAGAGUCACCCAAGAAAAAAAAAAAGGAAUGUGGACCAGGACAAAAAAUCAGUGGCAGACCAAAAACGUAAGUAGCAAGCAGCUUGGGUUUUAUAUUCAGGGGAAGGGCAAAAGGAACAUUUAGGCUACAGAGGAGAGUAAUUUGUGUCACAGCUGUAAUAAAACAAGAUUUGUUGUUUUGUCUGUUCAGGUGAAUUCCAAGCCAGAUAUGUGGAGGAGCACCAGCUCGGAGAAGGAGGCUGCGGAGCAGUGUUUGCUGGCUACCGGAUAGAAGAUCGUUUUCCAGUAAGUGUUCAGAUGAUGUAGUAAGACAGGCAGUAACGCAGAUAAUGGAUAAUAUCGUAAACUGAGACGUCUGCUGUGUUUCCACCUUUCAUUAUGUCAUACUGAGGAAAUGCUCACCAAUGCUCUGUGUCUUCUAGGUUGCCAUCAAACACAUUCCCAAAAAUAAGUCUACUGCAAAGUGGCGGUAAGCGUCCAACACUUGAAUCAGUUUUACAUUACUGGAUUGAAUGCGGCGUUCCUCAUCAUCCACUUUGUUGUAAUAUUUCAGGAUGAAAGCGGAAGAAGC
rnacentral:lncRNA from 1 species